GAUGAACGCUGGCUACAGGCUUAACACAUGCAAGUCGAGGGGAAACGACGGGGAAGCUUGCUUCCCCGGGCGUCGACCGGCGCACGGGUGAGUAACGCGUAUCCAACCUGCCUCUGACUGAGGGAUAACCCGUCGAAAGUCGGCCUAAUACCUCAUGGUAUCGUCUGCGGGCAUCCAACGACGAUUAAAGAUUUCAUCGGUCAGGGAUGGGGAUGCGUCUGAUUAGCUUGUUGGCGGGGUAACGGCCCACCAAGGCUACGAUCAGUAGGGGUUCUGAGAGGAAGGUCCCCCACAUUGGAACUGCGACACGGUCCAAACUCCUACGGGCGGCAGCAGUGAGGAAUAUUGGUCAAUGGGCGAGAGCCUGAACCAGCCAAGUAGCGUGCAGGAAGACGGCCCUAUGGGUUGUAAACUGCUUUUAUGCGGGGAUAAAGUGAGGGACGUGUCCCUCAUUGCAGGUACCGCAUGAAUAAGGACCGGCUAAUUCCGUG
rnacentral:rRNA from 1 species